UACGUAGGGUGCGAGCGUUAAUCGGAAUUACUGGGCGUAAAGCGUGCGCAGGCGGUUUUGUAAGCCAGAUGUGAAAUCCCCGGGCUUAACCUGGGAAUGGCAUUUGGGACUGCAAGGCUGGAGUGCGGCAGAGGAGACUGGAAUUCCUGGUGUAGCAGUGAAUGCGUAGAUAUCAGGAGGAAUACCGAUGGCGAAGGCAGGUCUCUGGGCUGACACUGACGCUCAUGCACGAAAGCGUGGGGAGCAAACAGGG
rnacentral:rRNA from 1 species